rnacentral:lncRNA from 1 species
UGCUACGGUGUCGACGUUGCAUAUUUAUUCGGAAGUGAACAUUGUGACAAACUGGAUUGCAUCUUACGUGGCAAAGCACUUUAAAAAUUGCACUUGGAGACAGAGCGAGACAUGCCUGCUGGUCCCGUAAGAUUUUUUAUACUUGAACUUUCUAGAUUGCUCAGAUACUAGAGUGAUGUGACUGUUCGUAUGUAUCCUUCAAAAAAAAUACUUCAUAAAAUUCAAAAAUUAUAUAUGCCAACUUAAGAGACAUGCGAUCAGCUUUCAGGAGACCUUUGGAUUACCAUAAAGGAAACCAUUUUCUUUCUUUUGGUAAACCAAAAGUAAGUUUUACAAUGUAUUCUGAAAUUAUGUACAAUAUUUUUUGAAAUGUAAUUUUCAAGU